GGCGGUUCUCAGGUGAUGCACCCCGGAAUCAGGCUCCCUUCUCUCUGCUUCUGGGAUGCGUUACCUGAGAACCACC
rfam:Myotis davidii contig125210, whole genome shotgun sequence.